rnacentral:rRNA from 1 species
UACAGAGGGGCAAGCGUUGUUCGGAAUUACUGGGCGUAAAGGGCGCGUAGGCGGCCUGCUAAGUCGAACGUGAAAUCCCUGGGCUCAACCCAGGAACUGCGUCCGAUACUGGUUGGCUUGAAUCCGGGAGAGGGAUGUGGAAUUCCAGGUGUAGCGGUGAAAUGCGUAGAUAUCAGGAAGAACACCUAUGGCGAAGGCAGCUCUCUGGGACGGUACUGACGCUGAGACGCGAAAGCGUGGGGAGCGAACAGG